ACGUUUCUUGAUGUUUUCUUCACAUUGACAUUGAGAGCAAUUGCAGAGCCUAAAUCACCUGUCCUUAAGAAGGGUUUGUCGAUCUUCUUUCCCUAAAUCCUGUCGCAUUUAGCUAGUUUUACACGCCGUAGUGCAGAUGUUGGUGAAUGCAGCGUAGAGGCUCGGAUGGAAUUGGACUCCACUGAAGCACAGCUUUAAUCACCGUAUGAACUUCACUCCGCCUGGUGGACUGCAG
rnacentral:lncRNA from 1 species